CAGCUCCCGGCUGGGGCCGCCCCCUCCAGGGUUAGCCCGCCGGGCUGCGGCCAGGGGAGGGGGCGGAGCCGCAGGGUGGAGGGGAGGCGUCGGAGCGGGGCGCGGGGCACCGAACUCCUCGUGCGGGGGCCUCCGGCGGGACGGGGUCGUGGCACCUCGGCGUUCCCACCUCCUCCGCGACCCUUCGCAGUGCUGCGCGGGUUAGGGGCGGGCCGAGACCCUGGCGUGCUAAGAGGUUCCUUCUUGGAUUGAGACCUCUUUCUCCCGAGGGGAAGACCCAACCCUUAGCUCUACUGUGCACCUCCAUCCACUGCCCCAAAGCCAAAUGUAUCCCACACCUUUGGUGCAGCGAAAAUGAACAUAGGAAAGAUUUUCUUACAAAAGUAAUCUCUCUGGCCCUCUCAGAACUGCCUACACGACUUCCUCCAGAGCCCUGGAUCCUCCAGAGGCCCUAAACCCGUUAUUACUCGCGAUUGCAGAGUAAAUCCGUUUCUAUAUCCGUGGAGAUAACGACCUUAGGGCAGUGUAUCCAUACUUCAGUCUGGAAAAACUUGCAGCAUUUUAUAGUUGUCUGGGGCCUAAGGAAUAAUGUUAUUUGUUCAAUAAUUACUUUCAAAGGGGGUGGGGGGGGCUCUAAAUACUUGAGUGUUGGUUAGGGAUUAUUAGGUGUGAGGCUAUAAAUAAGUACCUUGCAAGAAAAACUCAGGUAUUAGCAAAGACAUGUCUAUAAUUGGCCUUACAAAUAAAAAAGCUUUAAUAAAUAUUAGAAAUAAUCCCCUCAUUGAGCCUAUGCUUUCAAUGUGAUCAUUCCCAUGUACUCCAACCCAAGCCGUAAGACUGAAGGUGCUAGCUUAGCAAUAUUCCUAAUUACCUGUCAAGUGGACCCUGCCCAGCUACUUGGUGGUGUUCCUGGGGAAGACAGCCACUCUCUCCUGACACUCAGGUCUUUCCUUCCCUGUACUGCUGCUUGACUGGUAGGCCCCUCAAGGUAAACUUUGGCUAAGUAUUUGGUUCUAAAUCCCAAUUGUUUCCUGCAACAUCUGAGCCUUCUUCAGCCCCAAGUUCAUUUUUUGUUGUUCUGUUAAGUCCUCUAAACUCAAGUUACUAUGGAUUAGUGUUUUCUAGAAUUUUCAGUAGUUGUGGGGUGGAGAGAAGGGAAGAUUAAAAAAGGAAUGGGGCCGGGUGAGGUCGCUCUCGCUGGUAAUCCCAGCGACUCUGGAGGCUGAAGCAGGAGGAUUGUGAGUUCAAAGCCUCAGUAAAAAAAAAAAAAAGUGAAGCGCUAAGCACUCAGUGAGACCCUGUCUCUAAAUAAAAUACAAAAUAGGGCUGGG
rnacentral:lncRNA from 1 species